UUGGAGGGCAAGUCUGGUGCCCGCAGCCGCGGUAAUUCCAGCUCCUAUAGCGUAUAUUAAAGUUGUUGCGGUUAAAAAGCUCGUAGUUGAAUUUCGGGAUUGACGUGACGGUCAUGCCUUAAGGGGUAGGAACUGUUACUGAUGAUUUCUCACCUUCUGGAGAAACUUGAUGUCCUUUAUUGGGUGUCUUGCGGAUCCAGGACCUUUACCUUGAAAAAAUUAGAGUGUUUAAAGCAGGCAUUUUUGCUCGAAUACAUUAGCAUGGAAUAAUAGAAUAGGACGGCAUGGUUCUAUUUUGUUGGUUUCUAGGAUCACCGUAAUGAUUAAUAGGGAUAGUUGGGGGCAUUAGUAUUCAAUUGUCAGAGGUGAAAUUCUUGGAUUUAUUGAAGACUAACUACUGCGAAAGCAUUUGCCAAGGAUGUUUUCAUUAAUCAAGAACGAAAGUUAGGGGAUCGAAGACGAUCAGAUACCGUCGUAGUCUUAACCAUAAACUAUGCCGACUAGGAAUCAGACGAUGUUAAUUUUUUAAUGACUCGUUUGGCACCUUACGGGAAACCAAAGUGUUUGGGUUC
rnacentral:rRNA from 1 species